CGAUUCUACUGCUGAUAACCUUGACUGCAAGAAAACCCUGCCACUUAGGCCUUUGUGAAGUGUGACAUCAGCUUUUAUUCAAAGUUCAACUGAGGAGAAAAAUCGACUUUUUAGUGGAAACUGAAGAAAUUCAAUCCGUGGUGAAUUAAGACCCUACCACAGUCUUAUCAGCCAUAUGAAGAACAGGAUGAAACCAGACCUCCCCAGACAGGUCUCACACAGGGUUAACUGCUCCCAUCACAAACACCACCGCUCCUUCAAUGCUGGAACAAAACAUGUGCAAUUCAUCUGAAAAGUAAAAUCAAGGUACACACAGACACACUCUACAAUGGAAGAGUCCUAAAUGGCAAAGCAUCUGUUCAAGAUUCACUGCUGGGCAUGUUGCAGCAGGAGAUCACUGUGAAUGAAGCUCCUCAGGAACAAAGCAAUUAUUAAGAGUGAACAAAUUAGCAUUUCCUCAAGACCAUGGGGCCUCUACAAGCAGAAGAGAUGUGAAGGCUAACUGGGGAUGUGACUGGAGGUGAAGAGAGAAUACAGAUCUGCUGUUCCUGCAGGGCCAGAUGCUCAGAGAGGGGUUGAAUCCCCUCUGCUUUGAGGAGUACUUGGCUUCCUACUACAUGUCACUGUCCUUCAUUUUUGCAGGUGGCUUUCAUUCAAUAGUAAAAGCCAACAUGGGAUUAGGUAAGAAUCUGGUUAAAACCCCAUUUCAUACAGAAG